CUUUGUGGCGGCUGUGCACGGGAGGCUUCGGCCUGCCGGGUUUCUAUGACCGGUCUACCACCCCGUGUACAGUCGCCUCCUUA
rfam:Pseudomonas fluorescens ABAC62 scaffold311_001, whole genome shotgun sequence.